UGGGAUGUAGCCAAGUUGGUAAGGCAACGGAUUUUGAUUCCGUCAUGCGGGGGUUCAAGUCCCUCCAUCCCAGCCA
rnacentral:tRNA from 1 species